rnacentral:rRNA from 1 species
UACAGAGGGGGCAAGCGUUGUUCGGAAUUACUGGGCGUAAAGGGCGCGUAGGCGGCCUGCUAAGUCGAACGUGAAAUCCCUGGGCUCAACCCAGGAACUGCGUCCGAUACUGGUUGGCUUGAAUCCGGGAGAGGGAUGUGGAAUUCCAGGUGUAGCGGUGAAAUGCGUAGAGAUGUGGAGGAACACCAGUGGCGAAGGCGACUUUUGGCCUGUAACUGACGCUGAGGCGCGAAAGCGUGGGGAGCAAACAGG